rnacentral:lncRNA from 10 species
AACUCUUGGAGGUGAUCCUGAGAAAGUCCAUCCUGCUUGUCCGACAGAUCUUACAGUUGACCAUUCUUUACAAAUUGACUUCAGUAAAUGUGCAAUACAGAAUGCACCAAAUCCUGGAGGUGGUGACCUGCAGAAAGCAGGAAAGCUCUCUCCACUUAAAGUGCAGCCUAAGAAGCUUCCCUGCAGAGGCCAGACUACCUGCCGAGGAUCUUGUGAUUCUGGAGAACUAGGCCGAAACUCAGGAACAUUUUCUUCGCAGAUUGAGAAUACACCCAUCCUGUGUCCUUUUCAUUUGCAACCAGUGCCUGAACCUGAAACAGUGUUAAAAAAUCAAGAAGUAGAAUUCGGCAGAAAUCGAGAGAGGCUUCAGUUUUUUAAGAAUCUCGCCCUGUUACCCAGGCUGGAGUCCAGUGGCGUGAUCUCAGCUUACUGCAGCCUCCACCUCCUGGGUUCAAGCAGUUCUCCUGCCUCAGCCUCCCGAGUAGCUGGGAUUACAGGCGCACACCAGCACGCCUGGCUAAUUUUUGUAUUUUUAGUAGAGAUAGGUUUUCACCAUGUUGGCCAGGCUGGUCUUGAACCCCUGGCCUCAGGCAAUCUGCCUGCCUCGG